rnacentral:rRNA from 1 species
UUUCCAGACUCCUACGGGAGGCAGCAGUGAGGAAUAUUGGUCAAUGGGCGGGAGCCUGAACCAGCCAAGUCGCGUGAGGGAAGACGGUCCUAUGGAUUGUAAACCUCUUUAGGCGGGGAGCAAUGCCGGGCACGUGUGCCCGGAGGGAGAGUACCCGCAGAAUAAGCAUCGGCUAACUCCGUGCCAGCAGCCGCGGUAAUACGGAGGAUGCGAGCGUUAUCCGGAUUUAUUGGGUUUAAAGGGUGCGCAGGCGGAAUGUCAAGUCAGCGGUAAAAUUUCGGGGCUCAACCCCGUCGUGCCGUUGAAACUGGCGUUCUUGAGUGAGCGAGAAGUAUGCGGAAUGCGUGGUGUAGCGGUGAAAUGCAUAGAUAUCACGCAGAACUCCGAUUGCGAAGGCAGCAUACCGGCGCUCAACUGACGCUCAUGCACGAAAGCGUGGGUAUCGAACAGGAUUAGAUACCCUAGUAAG